UAGAGUUUGAUCAUGGCUCAGGAUGAACGCUAGCGACAGGCCUAACACAUGCAAGUCGAGGGGCAUCGGGGCUAGGAGCAAUCCUUGCCGCCGGCGACCGGCGCACGGGUGAGUAACGCGUAUGCGACCUGCCCGUUGCAGGGGGAUAAUCGGGAGAAAUCCCGUCUAAUACCGCGUAAUGCCGCGGGGCUGCAUGGCCCUGCGGCCAAAGGGAGCGAUUCCGGCAACGGAUGGGCAUGCGUGACAUUAGCUAGUUGGCGGGGCAACGGCCCACCAAGGCGACGAUGUCUAGGGGUUCUGAGAGGAAGGUCCCCCACACUGGUACUGAGACACGGACCAGACUCCUACGGGAGGCAGCAGUGAGGAAUAUUGGUCAAUGGGCGCGAGCCUGAACCAGCCAAGUCGCGUGAGGGAUGACGGCCCUACGGGUUGUAAACCUCUUUUGUCGGGGAGCAAAUUCCGUUACGUGUAACGGAGUCGAGAGUACCCGAAGAAAAAGCAUCGGCUAACUCCGUGCCAGCAGCCGCGGUAAUACGGAGGAUGCGAGCGUUAUCCGGAUUUAUUGGGUUUAAAGGGUGCGUAGGCGGACUGUCAAGUCAGCGGUAAAAUACGGGGGCUCAACCUCCGCCCGCCGUUGAAACUGACGGUCUUGAGUGGGCGAGAAGUAUGCGGAAUGCGUGGUGUAGCGGUGAAAUGCAUAGAUAUCACGCAGAACUCCGAUUGCGAAGGCAGCAUACCGGCGCCCAACUGACGCUGAAGCACGAAAGCGUGGGUAUCGAACAGGAUUAGAUACCCUGGUAGUCCACGCAGUAAACGAUGAAUGCUAGUUGUCCGGUUCUUUGGGACUGGGUGACACAGCGAAAGCGUUAAGCAUUCCAUCUGGGGAGUACGCCGGCAACGGUGAAACUCAAAGGAAUUGACGGGGGCCCGCACAAGCGGAGGAACAUGUGGUUUAAUUCGAUGAUACGCGAGGAACCUUACCCGGGCUCAAACGCCGAAGGAACAUUCCCCGAAAGGGGAAUGGCCAGCAAUGGUCUUCGGCGAGGUGCUGCAUGGUUGUCGUCAGCUCGUGCCGUGAGGUGUCGGCUUAAGUGCCAUAACGAGCGCAACCCCCACCGACAGUUGCUAACUGGUCAAGCAGAGGACUCUGUCGGGACUGCCGGCGCAAGCUGCGAGGAAGGCGGGGAUGACGUCAAAUCAGCACGGCCCUUACGUCCGGGGCGACACACGUGUUACAAUGGCAGGUACAGCGGGAUGCCAUGGGGCGACCCAGAGCGGAACCCGAAAACCUGUCUCAGUUCGGAUUGGAGUCUGCAACCCGACUCCAUGAAGCUGGAUUCGCUAGUAAUCGCGCAUCAGCCACGGCGCGGUGAAUACGUUCCCGGGCCUUGUACACACCGCCCGUCAAGCCAUGGGAGCCGGGGGUGCCUGAAGGCCGUGACCGCGAGGAGCGGCCUAGGGUAAAACUGGUGACUGGGGCUAAGUCGUAACAAGGUAACCGUA
rnacentral:rRNA from 1 species